UACGGAGGGUGCAAACGUUGCUCGGAAUCAUUGGGCGUAAAGCGCACGUAGGCGGCCUGUUAAGUCGGAUGUGAAAGCCCCGGGCUCAACCCGGGAAGUGCAUACGAAACUGACGGGCUUGAGUAUGGAAGAGGGUCGCGGAAUUCCCGGUGUAGAGGUGAAAUUCGUAGAUAUCGGGAGGAACACCAGUGGCGAAGGCGGCGACCUGGGCCAAUACUGACGCUGAGGUGCGAAAGCGUGGGGAGCAAACAGG
rnacentral:rRNA from 1 species